AGCAGCCGCGGUAAUUCCAGCUCCAAUAGCGUAUAUUAAAGUUGUUGCAGUUAAAAAGCUCGUAGUUGAAUUUCGGGGUUAGUAGGUUGGUCGUGCCACUGGUACGUACUGGUCUCACUGACUCCUCCUUCCUGAUGAACUGUAAUGCCAUUGAUUUGGUGUUGCGGGGAAACUGGACUGUUACUUUGAAAAAAUUAGAGUGUUUAAAGCAAGCUAACGCUUGAAUACAUUAGCAUGGAAUAAUGAAAUAGGACGUCCGAUCCUAUUUUGUUGGUUUCUAGGAUUGACGUAAUGAUUAAUAGGGAUAGUUGGGGGCAUUAGUAUUCAAUUGUCAGAGGUGAAAUUCUUGGAUUUAUUGAAGACUAACUACUGCGAAAGCAUUUGCCAAGGAUGUUUUCAUUAAUCAAGAACGAAAGUUAGGGGAUCGAAGACGAUCAGAUACCGUCGUAGUCUUAACCAUAAACUAUGCCGACUAGGGAUCGGAUGAUGUUAAUUUUUUAAUGACUCAUUCGGCGCCUUA
rnacentral:rRNA from 1 species